rnacentral:tRNA from 1 species
GGAUUAGCUCAGAUGGUAGAGCGCUCGCUUAGUAUGCGAGAAGUAGUGGGAUCGAUGCCCGCAUGCUCCA